GGGCUUGUAGUCUAACGGUAAGACGCCGCCUUCGCAAGGCGGAGACUCCGGGUUCGAUUCCCGGCGAGUCCA
rfam:Candidatus Micrarchaeota archaeon CG1_02_51_15 cg1_0.2_scaffold_1096_c, whole genome shotgun sequence.